rnacentral:sRNA from 1 species
AUUAGGCAUGCCUUACUACAAAGUCUCUUAUUUAAUCUAAAUGUAGGGACAUAAUAGAUUUUUAUCCUUCUAAAACUCAUCUUUUAGCUAUGGCGACUUUGACUUCCUGCCAAAAUCCUGUUACCCUAGCAACAGCAAAUGAAGAAACACCCCUGCCGCCAGUGUGACAAGUCUUUCAGCUCGUCCCACAGCCUGUGCCGGCACAACCGGAUCAAGCACAAAGGCAUCAGGAAAGUGUACGCCUGCUCGUAAGUCCUGGUUUCUAACGGAACGCAGUGAGAGGACUCAGGAGGAACCUCUGGAAGGUUUUUAGUGUAGUACCAUUAACUUGCUGUGUGCUCCACAGUUCCUACAUUACAUUUCUCAAUUGUAUUAUUGUUUUGGCAUAGAGUUUUUGGAUUGGGUUGUCACACUUAAAUAUGAAAAUAAAAAGGAGCAUUUUCUUGCAUAUCCCACAUACAUUGUGUGUUUUUUUUUUUUCCCGAGACGGAGUCUCACUCUGUUGCCCAGGCUGGAGUGCAGUGAUGCAAUUUUGGCUCACUGCAACCUCUGCCUCCUAGGUUCAAGUG